rnacentral:rRNA from 1 species
UACGGGGGGGGCAAGGGUUGUUCGGAAUUACUGGGCGUAAAGGGCUCGUAGGUGGCCAACUAAGUCAGACGUGAAAUCCCUCGGCUUAACCGGGGAACUGCGUCUGAUACUGGAUGGCUAGAGAUUGGGAGAGGGAUGCGGAAUUCCAGGUGUAGCGGUGAAAUGCGUAGAUAUCUGGAGGAACACCGGUGGCGAAGGCGGCAUCCUGGACCAACACUGACGCUGAGGAGCGAAAGCCAGGGGAGCAAACGGG